rnacentral:rRNA from 1 species
UACAGAGGUCUCAAGCGUUGUUCGGAUUCAUUGGGCGUAAAGGGUGCGUAGGCGGCGCGGUAAGUCGGGUGUGAAAUCUCGGGGCUUAACUCCGAAACUGCAUUCGAUACUGCCGUGCUUGAGGACUGGAGAGGAGACUGGAAUUUACGGUGUAGCGGUGAAAUGCGUAGAUAUCGUAAGGAAGACCAGUGGCGAAGGCGGGUCUCUGGACAGUUCCUGACGCUGAGGCACGAAGGCCCAGGGGAGGCAAACGGG